CAGCCCCGCCGCCCCUCGGACCGAGCCCCGUGCAACUACAAGUCCCAUUACGCUCCGCGAAGUCUUGAUCGCCCGGCUUUUGCAGGGAAAGGAGUGGGUGAACAUGGCUGAAGGCACCCGGAUCGGCCCAACGUGCCACGGGAUGGGUAGCAGGCAGGACCCCGUCUCCAGCAGUGGGAGCUGCAACUUUCCAGAGUACGAGCUUCCCGAGCUAAAUACGCGUGCAUUCUAUGUGGGCGCUUUCGGGGAGCUGUGGCGUGGCCGGUUGCGCGGAGAAGGGGACUUGUCGCUGAAGGAGCCGCAAGCAUCCGCGCUGCCAGGGAGCCAAGGGGUCGCCGAGUGGGGCCAGGAGGAUGCUGCGGUGGCCCGGGAUCUGGGCUGCAGCUUGGAGGCGGCAGCAGAGCUGCGGACCGUGUGCGGCCUUGAUAAAUUAAAGUGCCUUGAGGAGGGUGAGGACCCAGAAGUCAUCCCAGAGAACACCGACCUAGUGACUUUGGGGGUUAGAAAGAGGCUUCUGGAACAGCGGGAAGAAACCAUAACAAUAGAUCGGGUUUGCAGGCAAGAAACCUUUGCUUACGAGAUGGAGUCACAUGCCAUAGGAAAAAAGCCUGAAAACCCAGCAGACAUGGUUGAAGAAGGGGAGCUUAUCCUAUCUGUGAAUAUCUUGUACCCCGUUAUAUUUCAUAAGCACAAAGAACACAAACCAUACCAGACGAUGCUGGUAUUGGGCAGUCAAAAGCUCACGGAACUGAGGGAUUCAAUUUGUUGUGUCAGUGACCUCCAGAUUGGUGGCGAAUUCAGCAACACUCCUGAUCAAGCUCCUGAGCACAUAAGCAAAGACCUGUACAAAUCAGCCUUCUUUUAUUUUGAAGGAACAUUUUAUAAUGAUAAGAGAUACCCUGAGUGCAGAGAUUUGAGCAGAACUAUCAUUGAGUGGUCAGAGUCCCAUGAUAGAGGCUAUGGAAAAUUUCAGACCGCUAAAAUGGAAGAUUUUACCUUCAAUGACUUGUAUAUUAAACUGGGUUUUCCUUACUUAUAUUGUCACCAGGGAGACUGUGAGCAUGUUGUCGUCAUCACUGACAUAAGGCUUGUGCAUCGUGAUGACUGCUUGGAUAGGACCCUUUAUCCCCUUCUUAUCAAGAAGCAUUGGUUAUGGACCAGAAAAUGUUUUGUUUGUAAAAUGUACACAGCCAGAUGGGUGACGAACAAUGACAGUUUUGCACCAGAGGACCCAUGUUUCUUUUGUGAUGUUUGCUUUCGGAUGCUCCACUAUGAUUCAGAAGGCAACAAACUGGGAGAAUUCCUUGCUUAUCCUUAUGUUGAUCCUGGAACCUUUAAUUAAUAACAAAAGUACACCCUUGUGAAGUAACUACCCUGUGGAUGGUUACUUUAUUUCCAAAACAUGUCACUGAGGAACAGGAUCCACCCGAAACAAUCAGCCAGUUACCCACCCCCCUGCACAAGUUCAGAUCACAGGUUUUCUUACAAAGUAACUUGUGUUUAGAAAUACAUUAGUAUUUAUUCCAAAAUAUGGUGAUUAUUUAGUGCCUCUGCCCAUUAAGUGUGUUUAUCUAAGUUGUAGGAGUACUUUAUAUAUUUUGAAUACAAAUCCUUUGUCAGAUUCAAGUGUUCUGAUUUUUGCCCAGUCUGUGGCUUGUCUAUUCAUUCUGUGUCCAGAGUGGUUUUUGCUAAUCUGUAAUUAGAAAAAUUCAGUUAAUGAUACAUCAAGUGGUGGGAGUAUUUUGAAAAUUCUUUGAAGAGUGCGAGAGCUACACCUUGUACAGAGCUACACCUUGUACCGUGAGGCUUCCAAGGUUAUUCAUUUAAAGUCAAUUGAGUUCCACAUUCCCUGGAUGGUUAAGAGCAGACAUUUACCAUACAAGUCAAAACUGAUGAAUCCUUUAAGCCUGUAUGUUUAAAAGAUUGGCAGUGAAAUGUUUUGUGGACUUAAGUACCACAUACCCAAUUAAGUCCAUUGCUGUACAGAGGACACGCACCUGUUUCUGGUAUGUGUAGUGACCGUCUCUUUCACUCAUUCAGUGAAUACACCACCAGAGGAUCAGUAUAAAGAACUAAGAGAUCCCUCCCUCCCUUGCCUGGCUUCAGUUGCUGCCUAAAUGUUUACUUUCAUGUUUCCAAUGAUGCUAAUAAAUUCAACAGAUUGAAAAUUC